AAAGCACUUGUCACUUCUCUGCAGUUCAGGAUAGGAAAGAGAAACAACAAGGUUCUGGCUGUUAAGACACCAUAUAGUUCCUGUGCUCAUGAAGUAGCUACAAACUUCUGAUGCAUAUGCAGUAUUCCUCAAUGAGCCUACCACAAAGCAUCUUGCUGAAGGUGUUGUAAAAGUACAAAUUAAUGUAAUAUGGUUUUCUAUUACACACUACAUCGACAGCUUCAAAGUCUUCAGCAAAGGCAAUACGAGCUAAUACUAUUGAAGGAUGAUAAAACUGUUGCUCAUGAUUCAGAAACAGGAGAACUACCAAUUAAAUAUUUAUUUUCUAAUUCAACAAGAAUGAAAUUCUACAUUUUACUCUUACAAAGACAGUGAAAUAUACAGAGGCGAGUUGUGGAAUGUGCUACAGUUUGAACUUGGGCAGGAACAGUUGUUCUUGCAAGGGGUUGUGUUGGACUCUAAGUGCAUGAUGACUAGGUGAGCUUAUGCAGCCUGAUCUGAAGCCAUAAUAUUUUUUAGAUUCUGACUUGUGUAAUUCAAGUCUUUAAACACAGAUGAAAUUUAACUGCUAUGUAGAACUUGAUCCUGAAGAAGAACUUGAUCCAGAACUUGAUCCUGAAGAAGACAAUUCCCAAGAAUCAGUCAAGGAAUUUUUUUUUAUUAGCUUUUGGGAUUAUGUAGCAUUAUUUGUAUAUGUACUUUGGUCAUGAACAUCUUCGUAAGAUCACUCCAAGAGGUUGAAUGCUGCUGUCAGUUAAGGUGUUACUUUUGACUUAUUAGCAAAAUACAUAGUAUCCUGUAUGAGGUAAUUUGAGUUAAUUAGAAAUAUCUUGCUUGGCUUUUUGGGUGCUAAAUGUUGGUUAAUGUUGAGAGUAUUCUUCUGAAGAGGUACACCAUCCAUCCAGAUUAAGCUUUUAAUUCAAUCUUUACAUUCUAACUGGAAGCUUGCACUGCACUGAAAUGGUCAUGCAGUGUAUUAAAUGCUCACUGCAAAACUCUUUGUCAUAGGAUGUAGCAGCAAAGUAAAAAUUGUUUCAGAAAAGGGACUGAUCAAGUGCAUGGAGGAUGAGACCAUGAGAAACAACUGCAUAUGAUGUUUGGACACAAUCUACGGCAUAGUAAGUCCCUACAGUGCUGACUGUCAGAGAUAGGGAUGACACAUGAUGGAAAAGAUGAUCCUACAAAUGCUACAGUUCAAGCAGUGUCACUUCAAGAUUUUUCAGUAUGUCUGUUCUUAUGUAUCCGUGUGAUCAAAUAAAUCAUUACAAAUAUAGCAGGUUGGAGGGAAAACUAACAGUCCAACAACAGGCAACUGUCAAUCGGUAAGAACAAUUAAAAUUAUCUUGGCAGUUCCAAUCAUCUGUUGCAGCAGUUGUUAAUGGAAUGUCCCUAUGAACAGUCACUCAAAGAGGAAUACACAGCUCUGAAAAGCACAACUGAGGAAUAAUAGAAAUACAGAGCUAGAAGGCCAUCAAGAUGUCAUUUACUUGUUCAAAGCAAGCUCUGACAAAAGUUUGUCUAAACUAGUUUUUAAAGCCUCCUGUGAUGGACUGGAAGACCAUGAUAAUUCCUCCUGGCUGUAAAGUCUCAUUAAUCUACUAGACUUCAGAGAACUGCUUUUUCUUUGAAGAAACCAGGCUGGUUAGAACCUUUGAUAUCUUCAUCUUCCAGAUGUUUUAUUAAUUUAGUUUUAAUCAUCAUUUCAUGUUAGGCUUACUAGUCUAAGACAUUGAGUAUUAUCAUUGUAAGCACCAUCUGUCACCUUAUUCCAGCAAGAAAAUUCUUCAGAUUCUUUUCUGAAGCCAUCCUGUUUUGUGUCAAAAGGAAACAGCAAAUUCACAGGAGUAAAAAAAAAAAAAAAAAAGACCAAGGAAGAAGACUGCUGCUGCAUGGGCCUGAAGGAGCACUAUGGAUAAAUAACAAUAUACAGAUGAUUUAGGUGAGGACUGAGGUCUAAAGAUCCUGAGGAAAUAUAAUAAAGUAACAAUGAAGAAAAGUGAGGGGAAAAGGAAAUGCUGACUGAGCAGAAGGAGACUAUAGUAAGAAGAGAUUGUGAAAGUGCUGUCCUCCCAGGAUGUUUGCUGUGGGGCUCCAUAUCCUCUCAUUUCCAGAUGAAAACAAACUGGAUCUUUGGGCUCAGCCAUGAUAAGUUUAUCUUGCCUUGUGAGGAACAAGGAUUCUGAGCAAGAGAUCUUGAGAUGAAUAGGCAUAAUAAUUGUGUGUUUCUGAGCUUCCUUGGAAAAUCUGGAUGAGAACAACAGAAAGUCCAUCUGAAUUCAGACCAGUAGGAAUGGACCUAUGCGACCGAAUAAAGUCAAUAUUUUUUCUUUC